rnacentral:rRNA from 1 species
GGCAGCAGUGGGGAAUAUUGCACAAUGGGCGCAAGCCUGAUGCAGCCAUGCCGCGUGUGUGAAGAAGGCCCUCGGGUUGUAAAGCACUUUCAGUGGGGAGGAAACGUUUAACGUUAAUAGCGUUGGGACUUGACGUUACCCACAGAAGAAGCACCGGCUAACUCCGUGCCAGCAGCCGCGGUAAUACGGAGGGUGCGAGCGUUAAUCGGAAUUACUGGGCGUAAAGCGCGCGUAGGCGGUUUGUUAAGUCGGAUGUGAAAUCCCCGGGCUCAACCUGGGGACUGCAUCCGAUACUGGCAGGCUAGAGUACGGGAGAGGGUUGUGGAAUUCCACGUGUAGCGGUGAAAUGCGUAGAGAUGUGGAAGGAACACCAGUGGCGAAAGCGAC